rnacentral:rRNA from 1 species
GACGAACGCUGGCGGCGUGCUUAACACAUGCAAGUCGAGCGGAGCGGCGAACGGGUGAGUAACGCGUGAGUUACUGCCCCCCUCUUUGGGUUAACAGUUGGAAACGGCUGCUAAUACCGGCUAGUGGGGGAUGACUCGCGUCCAAUGAGCUUGUUGGUGGGGUAGUGGCCUACUAAGGCGAAGACGGGCAGCCGGCCUGGGAGGGCGAACGGCCACAAGGGGCUGAGGUACGGAGCAAAAGCGUACGGGAGGCAGCAGAGGAGAAUAUUGCACAAUGGGGGAAAGCAGGAGGCAGAAACGCCGGGUGCGGGAUGACGGCCUGCGGGUGGUAAACCGCUUUCAGAGAUGACGCGGUAGUGGAAGAAGAAGCACCGGCUAACUACGUGCCAGCAGCCGCGGUAAUAC